UAACGGCGAGUGAACCGGGAUGAGCUCAAAUUUAAAAUCUGGCGUCUUUCAGGCGUCCGAGUUGUAAUCUAUAGAGGCGUUUUCCGCGCCGGACCGCGUCCAAGUCUCUUGGAAUAGAGUAUCAAAGAGGGUGACAAUCCCGUACUUGACGCGACAACCGGUGCUCUGUGAUACGUUCUCAAUGAGUCGAGUUGUUUGGGAAUGCAGCUCUAAAUGGGUGGUAAAUUCCAUCUAAGGCUAAAUAUUGGCGAGAGACCGAUAGCGAACAAGUACCGUGAGGGAAAGAUGAAAAGCACUUUGGAAAGAGAGUUAAACAGCACGUGAAAUUGUUAAAAGGGAAACGAUUGAAGUCAGUCGUGUGAAAGGUAUUCAGCCGUCUCUGGCGGUGUAUUUGCCUUUCACGGGUCAACAUCAGUUUGAUCCGGUAGAAAAAGGCGGGAGGAAGGUGGCACCCUCGGGUGUGUUAUAGCCUCCUGUCAUAUGUGCCGGACCAGACUGAGGAACGCAGCUUGCCGCAAGGCCGGGGUUCGCCCACGUACAAGCUUAGGA
rnacentral:rRNA from 1 species